rnacentral:rRNA from 1 species
GUUACGGAAGUAACGAAGGGCGCACGGGGGAUGCCUAGGCUCUCAGAGGCGAUGAAGGACGUGAUAAGCUGCGAUAAGG